CGGACUGCCGCGCUCAGUUGCGCCGAAAGGUAUCUGAGUGAGGAAAGUCCGGGCAUCACAGGGCAGGAUAACGGAUAACGUCCGCCGAGGGAAACCUCCGGGAAAGUGCAACAGAAAUAGACCGCCGCGCAAGCGGUAAGGAUGGAAAGGCGAGGUAAGAGCUCACCGGCACGACAGGCGACUGUGUGCAAAUGUAAACCCUAUCCGAUGCAACACCGUAUGCAGAGUGACUUUUGUCAGCGUUUGCCCGACGCAGUUCUGCGGGUGGCUGGAGGCAGGCAGCAAUGCCUGUUCGAGAUAGAUGGCAGUCACGGCAAUGCCGUACAGAACCCGGCUUACAGAUCUCC
rnacentral:RNase_P_RNA from 1 species